rnacentral:rRNA from 1 species
GCCUGAUCCAGCAUGCCGCGUGCAGGAUGAAGGCCCUCGGGUUGUAAACUGCUUUUGUACGGAACGAAAAGCCUGGGGCUAAUAUCCCCGGGUCAUGACGGUACCGUAAGAAUAAGCACCGGCUAACUACGUGCCAGCAGCCGCGGUAAUACGUAGGGUGCAAGCGUUAAUCGGAAUUACUGGGCGUAAAGCGUGCGCAGGCGGUUUUGUAAGACAGUGGUGAAAUCCCCGGGCUCAACCUGGGAACUGCCAUUGUGACUGCAAGGCUAGAGUGCGGCAGAGGGGGAUGGAAUUCCGCGUGUAGCAGUGAAAUGCGUAGAUAUGCGGAGGAACACCGAUGGCGAAGGCAAUCCCCUGGGCCUGCACUGACGCUCAUGCACGAAAGCGUGGGGAGCAAACAGGAUUAGAUACCCUGGUAGUCCACGCCCUAAACGAUGUCAACUGGUUGUUGGGUCUUAACUGACUCAGUAACGAAGCUAACGCGUGAAGUUGACCGCCUGGGGAGUACGGCCGCAAGGUUGAAACUCAAAUGAAUUUGACGGA